AGUGAAAAGGGUUAUGUGAAGCGUAUGAAGCCCAAUACCUUUAAUCUUCAGAAUCGCGGAACAGUUGGUAAAUCUGUUGGAAAACUGAGAGUCAAUGAUGCAAUGUCUGACUCUAUUGUCUGUCGUGCUCAUGACCACGUGCUAUAUUUUAGGUACUUAGGCAGCCUUUGUCCUUUCAUGUUUGUUCUGAACAUUUUCAUGAGCUGAAUAUUAAGUAGCUUUAUCAUUACUAUUACUGUUGUUGUGCUUGCCUUUUGUUUGAAUUUUCUUUCCCAUUUUUUGAGAGUUGGAGAAGAUAACGAUAUGGUUAUCCACACUUGUAAACUUGAUGAAGAUCUUUUCAAUGUUCCUUGCACGUGACUUUUAGUGAUAUUAUCAUAUGCAUUUUCACUAUUAUGAUGAAUAUGUAAAAAUAAAACUAAUUUUGGUUUUUAACAUUUAUACUUAAACACUGAUUAUGAUAUUCUCUGAGCUUUCAGCAAUUCAAAUAUUUAGUUAAUUUGCUGCAUAUAAAUGUAUAAAACUGCAGCAUUUGUUUUAACUUAAAGUUUUUCAUAUUGAUCAAUCUGUAGAAUUUUUUUUAUUCGCAUAAAAUUAUGGAAACUAAAUUAUAUAUGUUAUCAGUAAAUCUUAUGCCAACAGAUAUAAGAGUUUUAGUAACAUAUGACAAACUUGCUGUAUUUCAAUGGAAUUUUGAUAGAAAAUUUGCUUGUCUAUUCCCACAAGCUGAUUGGGUUUAAAUAGACUGAAGUAUCCACAAAUUUGGGAAUAAAUUCCUAAAUUACAGCCCUAAUUGAUGCCCAUUGUCUUCUAAUUAUGGCUGGCAAUUACAGCCUUAAUUGGCUCUCUAAUUGAUGCCUAAUAUCUCUCCUAAUUGAUGCCCAUUGUCUCCUAAUAUGGUUGACAUUUACAGCCUGAAUUAGCUCCCUAAUUGAUGCCUAAUUUAUCUCCUAAUUGAUGGUUAUUUACAGCUAUCUUACAACAGUAUAGUCAAUUAAUUACAAUAGUAUACUAACAUUAUACUAACANNNNNNNNNNNNNNNNNNNNNNNNNNNNNNNNNNNNNNNNNNNNNNNNNNNNNNNNNNNAGUUCCGCAGGAGAUUUACCAGCUUCUCUGUCUUUUUCUUUUGCUAGGCAUUCUUAGAUUUUAGAUGCUCUGUUGUUGAGAGACGUGCCAGGUUUAAGCUUUCCCAGGCUCAAGAGAGAAGACAUAUUGUUGAGGUAUGUUAAGGUAACUGUUAAUUUGCUUGGUCACAAAGUAUUGGGUGUUUGUGCAUCCCACUUAAAAAUUUCAGUCCUCCCCUACCUUCUUGCUGCCAAUGGUACUGAGAUUUUAGUAAAUGAAAGGAAAUGUGAGAAUUUUGGUUGCCAUUGCCAUGAUAUAGUACGCUUAUAACAAUAAAUAAGCAGAUUUUAACACCUGCUCUGCAAAGGGUUGGGGUUUGUGCGAGUACUUUGGCUCACAUCUUUAGUUGGUGUAUAUUUUCAAACCCCUGCAAUUUGGGCUCAAGUGUUCCUUUUUUUCUUUUUUUCCCCUCAUUGUUCCUGUUGUAAUGAUUUUUACAUGUUUUUCAUAAGGUUUCUAGGCACUCAAUAAAGUGCUGUAUCAACUCAUCUAUGGUUGUUGUAUGAUCCUUCAGGGUAUUGUGGUGGGACUUGAUAAUUUGGAUGAAGUGAUUCGUAUAAUUAAGCAGGCUACAAGCAAUGCAGCUGCAUCUUCUGGUUUGAGGAAUGGUAAGGUUCUUUCACAUUUUAUACAUCUUAUGCCAGGUUUCCUUGCUUAGUAUAUCCAUUUAUUGUAAUUUAUUAUAUAUGCGCACAGAAAGAUGAAGUUUAUUUCUUUUGCCUCGAAGAAAUAUUUCUAUAUAUUUUAUAUUGUUUUUAGUUUCUGUUUUUCUUAGCUUAGCUCAGAGCCAUCUUUUUGUCGGAAGUUUCUGAUUUGAAUAAACAGAAAAAGUUAUUACGGUCUCUGUAAAUUAAUUUUUGUUUUGAUGCACCUUAUGCAUGUGGCGUUAGGUCUUUUUAUUGCAAAAUAGUGAGGACUGUCAGAUACUUGACUGCAUUUAGAAUGAUUAGGAGAAAUCUUGGUAGAAUGGUAUUUUGAAAAUUAAUGAACUGAGAAAGGUGACAAGUGUCUUAAAUUUUAAAGCAUUUUUAUCAGUAUGUUCACAUUUGAAGUGCAAGUUUCUAUGUAUUUUGCUUCUCUAAGUAUCAAAAUUGACUUAAGCUGAAAGAAAGCGUUUUGGUUUCCGUUCUUCUUGAGUAUUUAGAGAAUCAUACCAGACAUGCUAGCCUGAACAGUCCAAUCAGUAACUGGAUCAAUGAUUGGUUUGUUUGAUUGUAGUCUUACUCUUUAAAUUAGCUUUUAUGUCAUUUUUUUGUUGAAAUUUUCUAUCAAUUGAUUUUGCUAUUAUUUUCAUAUUCUUCAAUGUAGAAUUAAAUCUUUCUGAGAAGCAAGCUGAAGCCAUAUUGGACAUAAGCCUCAGAAGACUUACUCUACUUGAGGUGAUUAGUAUCUUGCUUUUCUUGCUUUUCUAUUUUUGGAAAAGGAUUUUGUAUUUUAUAUAGAUUGCAAUCUUAAAAUUUGCAAAUGGCAUUUAAUGGAAGUGAUUUCCCUAUUGUGCAGAGAAAGAAGUUUGUAGAUGAAAGUAAAUUGUUGUCAGAACAAAUCUCCAGGCUAGAGGAACUGUUGUCAAGCAGGCAAAACAUAUUACAGGUAACAUACUUGGUAAAUGCUGCUUGUGUUGUCAGUUAUUCAGGUUUUUUUUGCAUAAGGUGCAAAUUUUAGACUUCAUCUGGCCUGGUACUUCUGAUAUGCACUAUCAUCUGUUUGCGCAGUAAUAUUUUUAUUUGCUGGGGGAUAUAGAUUCGAAUUGACGAAUUGUGCUACUUCAAAUCCUUCAUUUAUCGAGUAUAUUUAAAUAAUCUUUGAGAAAGGAAGAAUUUGUGAGAAAGACAUAAUGUAUUUAUGCAGAUUCGUUAAAGAGUGAGACACUUUGUAUCAGAGAUGUGGCCAAAUGCAUAUCAAGGAAUUGAAUAAAAAAAGGCAGCUCCUAUUAUGUGUAUUAGUUAGCUAAUAUAGUAAGUGACACUUAAUGAAAAAAGAAUAAGAGAAGAUUACUGGGUAAAUAAUUUAAAGCUUACUAUUCAAUUGACAACCUGCAACAUUAUUUAUCUCUGAUUCAGCCGGUGCAUAUUUCCAAUAGAAAGUAAUUAUUGUUUGCCAUUUUCCUGCUCGAUAUCGACAAAAAAUCAAACUUAUUGCAGUGCCUCUUCCACAAAUAUGUUCCACAAUAAGAUUAGGUGGCCUUCCUUUUGUGACAACAUCUCAAAGACGAAUAAAUCAUUUAAAGGUAUCAAAAGAAGGCCAAGGAAUUAGUAGCUAGUUAGUAACUUCUUGAAGUUGAUUUUGGUUUGAGUGGAGAAGAUAAAGAGAAGACUACAGUGUUAGCUGAAAGAGAAAACUUUGUUUCCCUUCUCCUUCUUCAUGCUUCUUCUCUGUGUCUAUCCUCACGAUUACAAAACUAAAUCUCAACCAUUAUUUCCAACUAAUGAAUUCAUUUCUUGAAAGGAUUAGAAUCAGGCCCAUGUGUCCCUUGACCUGAUAAAUUAAUCUUGAGGCGUGAUGAUAUCAAGGGGACAUUGGCUAUAACAUAGAUCUGGUUCCUAGAAUUGCAAACUCCGAGGGCAGAUUGUUUCAAUAACUGAUAUAAAAAAUGAUUAGUAAUUUAGUUACUGCAUCAGUUACUCAUGAGACUUGUAUUGCACGUAUAUGGGUGUAUAAUUCUGAAAGUUUGUGGAUAGAUAAUAUACUUGAGCACCUGUGUGCAAUAUUUGGAUCCCUUUCCUCUCAAUCCUUGUAUUCUAGAAUUCAGACAUUACACAAGUAUGACACUCGACCAAUGCCCAUAUGCCAGUCUGAGCAACAAUUUCUAGAUCAAAUGACUUCACAACCUCCACCCGUCCCUAGUGUCAUUGUAAAGAUUGGAGAGUGAUAAUGUUUGCAGAUGUUCUUUUUGUUUUUCAUCAUCUCCAUCCUCAUCUUGGGAUAUAGUUUAUCGAGUUAGGUUAUGAGAGAGAGGAGCUGUGAUUCUAGAUAUGAUUUUUGAACUCAUUUCAUAUCAUUGUAACUGAGCUCCCUUGUUUUCAUAUUUUAGUUAAUUGAACAAGAAUCUGUAGAGCUCAAGAAUAAGUUUUCCAGUCCAAGGCGUUCGUUGUUGGAGGACUCUGACGGUGGUCAACUUGAAGAUAUAGAUGUUAUUCCAAAUGAAGAAAUGCUUCUGGUAUGUGACAUUGGAAGGUUGUCUGUUUCUUUGUUUUCAUAGUUAUUCUGUUUGCAUCACAUUGAAUGUUGAAAGUAUCAGCAUUUCCGAUGAAGUGUUUAUAUAUAUUGUUUUUGGUGGAUUAUUGGGAACAAGCUUUUUUUUCUCUUUUUUCUUUUAAGAAGAUUCUCAUUUAAUUUUCAGGCACUUAGUGAAAAGGGUUAUGUGAAGCGUAUGAAGCCCAAUACCUUUAAUCUUCAGAAUCGCGGAACAGUUGGUAAAUCUGUUGGAAAACUGAGAGUCAAUGAUGCAAUGUCUGACUCUAUUGUCUGUCGUGCUCAUGACCACGUGCUAUAUUUUAGGUACUUAGGCAGCCUUUGUCCUUUCAUGUUUGUUCUGAACAUUUUCAUGAGCUGAAUAUUAAGUAGCUUUAUCAUUACUAUUACUGUUGUUGUGCUUGCCUUUUGUUUGAAUUUUCUUUCCCAUUUUUUGAGAGUUGG
rnacentral:lncRNA from 1 species